CCUGCUCCUAAAGGCAAUGCAGGUAUGUCGCUGAGUAUAUGCUGUGCACCAGUUGGUGGCAGAGAGAAGUAAUGUCUAUGUUCAGUGUUCUGACCUGUGAGCACUUAAAUGAUUAGUUGGCUAAUAUU